GGUCCCAUAGCUCAGCUGGUUAGAGCACUUGACUCAUAAUCAAGGGGUCCUUGGUUCGAGCCCAAGUGGGACCA
rnacentral:tRNA from 1 species